rnacentral:sRNA from 1 species
AAACAGAGGAAAAACAGAGCAAGAAGAACAGAGUUUUGCUGCAUUUUUUUUCUUCUUCUUCUUCUUCAA